UGGUGUUUGGCACGACGUCGGCUGGGCAUAUGUGUCUUUGCGGAGUUGAAGACGUCGUGGGGCUUAGAAAGACAAAAUAUAUAUAUUAACAACAAAGCUGAUCUGUACUCUUCGGGAAGCCUCCAUCCAAAUCAAGGUUCACUGUUAACUGACCUCAGAGUUGGUGAUCAAGAUCAAGAACAAGAACAGUGACAACUCGUCUCCAUCAAAGUCCAAGCAAUCAAAUAGAAAAAAGGAGGACGGGCCACUUUCAGUUUUUUUUUUUUUUUUUUUCUGCAAAAGGAAGGGAAAAUGAAAGCACAGAAGUGACUGAGAAAAUUAUUCACUUACUUGAUCAAACUGUCUGAGAAGUCUACUGAUCCAUUUCAAACCAGCCAGCAAAAUUUUUGCUAUUUCAUGUGGGACAAAUAAAGAAGGGGAUUCAUACUUGGUGGAAUGGAAUGAAAGCGAAGGAGCUGUAAAGCGUACCUAUCAUGGUCUUGGGAAGUGGACUGUUGGGGUUGUGCAGUUUGAUACCGCCAAGAAUUGAUUCUUGGCUACUGGCAAUGAGUUCAUGGUUAAAUUCUGGGACAUGGACAAUGUUAACCUUUUGACAAGUACAGAUGCAGAUGGUGGACUGCUGGCUUCUCCUCCUAUUAGAUUUAACAAAGAAGAAAUACUGUUAGCUGUCUCAACAAAUGACAAUGGUAUUAAACUUCUAGCAAAUUCAUAUGGAAUUAGGUUACUGAGAACAGUGGAUGCUUCCAGAGCUGCUUCUGUGGCUGUUGUGAAGGUCUCAGCAGUAGGAACAUUUGGAUUGUCUAACAUUACUGUUGGAACAGGCAUUGGAGAUCGAGCAGCUCCAAUGCCAGGCAUGGUUGGACUGGUGAGUGUCAUGAUUAUCUCUCAUGGGUGACUCAAAUCCCAGAAGAAAUCCAUAUAAAUCAAUGCUAACGUAGCUACACAUGUUGCUGUCAUGAAUUUGUUAUGUGAUGGUUUUUUAGGUUUCAAAUGGAAAAGGGUAGUCUAAACUCUGCAUGCGGUCCCAGCGCUGCCUCACCUUCCCUGUCAUAGUGUCAUAUUCCAACGAGCCAUUAAAAAGUACUCGGGUCUUCUUCACUCACUCAGCCACUUCUAAUUUUCUGUAUCUGCAUGCUUCAAUUAUGACAUUCAAUUGAUGAUUUCGGAUUUUAGAUCAAUGGCAUCCUUUCGCUACAAAAUGUUGAAUCAACUAGCAUAAAGCACAACAGAAGAGCAUGUGACCGCUGCAAGAACAGAACAUAUUGAAGUUUUUAACAUACUUACAGAACCAGUAUUUGCAGGAAAUAUAAGGAAAAAGAGCAACGACAGCAGCAGCAACACAUGCAUUAUGGAAAAGGAAACCACUAUAUUGAAGGCUGAAGAGCUCAAUAAGAAGCAUCAACAAGUUGAUCAUAUUCAAUUGAUACAUUAGAUCCCUGGCAGCAGACAAGUUCUAGAACUUUUGAAAGCUACUUCAGACCCAUCUGCCAAUGUUCUCGACAUCGUGCUUUACUUUUCAAGAUAUUAAGUUUAUAGGCGUAACGGAGAGAUUAGGUGUAUUUCAGCAGAGAUAAAAUUGCACCACCAGCGGCAAGAGGAGGACAAAGUACUAGAUGAAGAAAUUGAAGAGGAUGAGAUGUUCUGGAAUCAAGAAGCUCUUAAAGAGGAGGAAGAAGAUGAUAACUAUGAAGUGGAGCUAAAGUUGCUGAUGUGUUCUCAAAUUGUUUACUUUAAUUUCAAGUUUUCUAGCAUUUUAGAGGAAAUGUGUGAGUUUAAAUUACCUCUAUUUGUUUGUGCAAUUAAUUGGGAACUAAGCUGUGAUUAUUUUGAGUUGACGUCGACAGAUCUUUGUAUAUCCUUUGAUUAUGUAUUUUACAAACUUAAAAAUUAAUACCUGAAGUCACCAACUGGUGUAUAAGAAAUUAUGCUGAUUUUGGGGUUUUACUAAUUUUGAAUCAAUUUGGCACCUUACAAAUGGUGAGCAAUGUUCAAUUAGCAUUUUAAUUAGUACUUGGAAAUUGGAAGUACAGAAUAUCUAUAGAUUGUGUUAAUAUUAAUUAUAGUUGGCUUAA